rnacentral:misc_RNA from 1 species
GAAAUGCGAUAAGUAAUGUGAAUUGCAGAAUUCAGUGAAUCAUCGAAUCUUUGAACGCACAUUGCGCCCCGUGGUAUUCCGCGGGGCAUGCCUGUUCGAGCGUCAUUUCACCACUCGAGUCUGACUCGGUAUUGGGCGUCGCGUUUCGAUGCGCGCCUUAAAGUUUCCGGCUGGACCGUCCGUCUCCGAGCGUUGUGGCAUCUGUCUCGCUAGGGAGCCGCGGAGGGCGUUGGCCGUUAAACACCCCAUCAAAGGUUGACCUCGGAUCAGGUAGGGAUACCCGCUGAACUUAA